rnacentral:rRNA from 1 species
UACGAAGGGGGCUAGCGUUGUUCGGAUUUACUGGGCGUAAAGCGCACGUAGGCGGAUUGUUAAGUCAGGGGUGAAAUCCCGGAGCUCAACUCCGGAACUGCCUUUGAUACUGGCAAUCUUGAGGCUGGAAGAGGUUAGUGGAAUUCCCGGUGUAGUGGUGAAAUGCGUAGAUAUCGGGAGGAACACCAGUGGCGAAGGCGACUACCUGGCCUGUUCUUGACGCUGAGGCGCGAAAGCUAGGGGAGCAAACGGG